UUAUGUUGUCGUGGUGUGACAUAAUAGCUAAGAACCAGUACAGUAGAACAAAAUUGUCGGUACUGCUAAACAGAAUGACUUCAUAUUUGUUCAGCAGCUUGACAGUGAUGAGUUGUAACGUGUGAUCACUUUUCGGGUCUGCUAGACACCUCCCUCAUGUUUGCCGAUACUUCGAUUUUUUCAAUAUGUUGAAUGAAGUCUCACUUUUCUGCAGUCCUCCAGAACAUAAGUCUACCGUUUAGCAGUGAUGACUUGUAACAAGUUAGCACUUUUCCGGAUUUUUUCAGACACCUGCUUCCUAUUUUCCGAUACUUCGAGUUACGAGAAGGGGUAUGCUUAGCUCGACAACUAGUGUAUUCUUGUUACAGGUUAGAAAAAUUUGAUAAAAUUGGAAAUGACGACAUAUGGAAUGCUUAAAUUCAGAAUUAAAAAUGAAAUGACCAACUGAUAAAGCAACUGUAAGGUGAUCUACCUGAUAAACAGCAAGGGAGCCAUUUUGAUACGAGGUUACCGACAAGUAUAAAUAUUGUUAUUUGUAUAUAAAAAAAGAGGCGGUAGAUACCAUGGAAACAUUCAAAACUCAUAUGUCGAAAAAAAACUGACAACGCCAUAGUAAAAUAAACUCGAAAGUCGACUUAGGGACAAAACAUUACACAAAACACUACAUAGAAAACUGAAGAGCAACAAGAACCCUGCCAAAAAGCCGGGAGAUGAUCGCAGAUGCUCCGAAAGGGUAAGCAGAUGUUCUAACGGCGCCCGUCAUGUUGAUCAUGGCAAGUCCACAUUUGGUUAUGUAACAAUCGAGAAAAAGAGGAAUACAAUCUAUGAUAAUUAUAGGUGACAGAUUGGAUAUAUCGUACGAAAAAACAUGAUAUCAAGGGAUGGGGCAAUAAAAAAAAGUCGUGGAAGGACAUACAGCACCGUGGUUAUAUAAUAAAUAAGCUUAGAAUAGCCGUAGAAGGACAUAUAUCACCGUGGUUAUAAAAAAGAAUAGCCGUGGAAGGACAUAUAGCACCGUGGUUAUAUAUUAAAAAAGAAUAGCCGUGGAAGGACACACAGCACUGUGGAUAUAUAAUUAAAAAAAAAGAAUAGCCGUGGAAGGACAUACAGCACCGUGGUUAUAUAAUAAAAAAGAAUAGCCGUGGAAGGACAUACAGCACCGUGGUUAUAUAAUAAAAAAAGAAUAGCCGUGGAAGGACAUACAGCACCGUAGUUAUAUAAUAAAAAAGAAUAGCCGUGGAAGGACAUACAGCACCGUGGUUAUAAAAUAAAAAAAAGAAUAGCCGUGAAAGGACAUACAGCACCGUGGUUAUAUAAUAAAUAGGAAUAGCCGUGGAAGGACACACAGCACCGUGGUUAUCAUAAUAAAAAAAAGAAUAGCCGUGGAAGGAUAUACAGCACCGUGGUUAUAUAAUAAAAAAAGAAUAGCCGUGGAAGGACAUACAGCACCGUGGUUAUGUAAUAAAAAAAGAAUAGCGGUGGAAGGACACACAGCACCGUGGUUAUAUAAUAAAUAAGAAUAGCCGUGGAAGGACACACAGCACCGUGGUUAUAUAAUAAAAAAAGAAUAGCGGUGGAAGGACACACAGCACCGUGGUUAUAUAAUAAAUAAGAAUAGCCGUGGAAGGACACACAGCACCGUGGUUAUAUAAUAAAUAAGAAUAGCCGUGGAAGGACACACAGCACCGUGGUUAUCAUAAUAAAAAAAGAAUAGCCGUGGAAGGAUAUACAGCACCGUGGUUAUAUAAUAAAAAAAGAAUAGCCGUGGAAGGACAUACAGCACCGUGGUUAUAUAAUAAAAAAAGAAUAGCGGUGGAAGGACACACAGCACCGUGGUUAUAUAAUAAAAAAAGAAUAGCGGUGGAAGGACACACAGCACCGUGGUUAUAUAAUAAAUAAGAAUAGCCGUGGAAGGACACACAGCACCCUGGUUAUGUAAUAAAAAAAGAAUAUCUAUGGAAGGACAUACAGCACCGUGGUUAUAUAAUUAAAAAAAAAGAAUAGCCGUGGAAGGACAUACAGCACCGUGGUUAUAUAAUAAAUAAGAAUAGCCGUGGAAGGACACACAGCACCGUGCCGGGUUAUAUAAUAAAAAAAAAAAGAAUAGCCGUGGAAGGACAUACAGCACCGUGGUUAUGUAAUAUAAAAGAAUAGCCGUGGAAGGACACAAAGUACCGUGGAUAUAUAACAAAAAAGAAGACGAAAGGUCAAACAACAGUACACACCUGGUGAUAAUCAGAAUCUUACUGCUAUUUACAAUCGAGAAGUAUAGUCUCCAUAAAUUCCUCUUUAACCGAUUUUACUGUAUGGCUUAAGCUGUUGCGUUAAAUUUUAUGAUAUUUAGUAUAUUACAUAUAUGUCAAACAAGUGAACAACAUUUAGGGGACUGCUACCUAAAAAUAAAAUUAUGUAAACGAACUUUUGGGUCCAAUGAAUAGGAAAUAUGUUUACAACGGAUUUUUCCGAGAGAGAUAUCAUUUAUUUUCUGUGAACAGCUUGUGAGUCGUAAAUUAAUGAUUACAGAUUUUGGAUUUAUUGUUCCAGAGUUAUAUAUGAUCAUAUAUUACGGAUUACAAUAUGUCGAGUUUUGUGAUUGGAUAACAACACAGAGAUGUCAGUAUAUAUUCAGGAAACUGCCGGGGUAUAUACGAUGUGUUUUACCCCAAUUGGAACCUCAUCAACGUCAUCAUCACGAACGUUAAUAUUAAGUACUAUGUGACGUAGUCUUGGGCUAUAUAGAUCACACAAAGAACGUCAGAGGCUCACAGAGGGAAAAUAUUGACGUGUAUCCGUCAAUAAUACGUUUUUAAUUUAAAACCACGCGAUUUACACAUCAAAUACUUAACUAAUGUUCUAAAGUGUUAUUAUAAAUUAUUGCAUACACGAUAGAAUUAUUUUCACAUCAAAUUACAAAUCUUCACGUAUGCGGAAAACUGAUAUAUAUACUGUGGGUGAAUGUUUAACAAAUAACUGGUACUGGAAAAAUAUUAAGGCAAGGGUAAUCCGUUUAUACCUUGUUCCCGAUUUUGUCGUUGCCUCUCGUCUGUUUCUUGUUUGUAUUUUUGUUUCUAUCUUGUUCCUGUUGUAUUGUUGUCUCUCAUCUGUUUCUUGUUUGUAUAUUCGUUUCAACCUUGUUCCCCGUUUUUUCGUCGCCUCUCGUCUGUUGGUUUUUUGUAUAUUUAUUUAUUUAUCGUUCUCGGUUUUGUCCUUGCCUCUCGUUUAUUGUUUGUAAAU